CUCACAGAGUCGGACACGACUGAAGCGACUUAGCAGCAGCAGCAGGCAUCCUCCUCCGGGGGGCACCUGCAGCCCUAGCGAGGCCGAAGCUGAAGGUUGUCCUCUUCCCGCUGCCCUAGGAGCGCUAAACAUCCCCAGAAGAGCCCUUCGGACUUCGUGGGAUGUCCGCUUCCUGGGACCCCAGGUCCAAGGGUAGUAAAAUCGGGGGGCACUGCCAGCUUCGUUCGGGGACAGAACGUCCUCUCUGUGUUGGGAACCCGAUCGAAGCCAAAGCGACAGCGGCCCCGCACAUCUCACCGCGAGCACCCACGCCGCUGGCGCCCAGUGGGGUGUGGUCGGAUACACAGGCGGGCAGCUGCUGAAACUCAGUAGUUCCUGGAUCUUCACUAUUUGGCCCCAGGAUGGUUUCUCCCCGCCCUCAUCAGGUGCAACUGGUCUCUGCACUAUCUGCAGCCCUGCAACUACCCUGACCUGCAUGAUUCCACACCGAUUCCAGAGAACUACCAGGCUGCAGAGGCUGAAGGCACAGGCAUGGGACUUACCACGGUCAGUCUCCAGGUUGGUGCACAUCAACAGCUAGUAUUAAGUAUGCCCUUACAGGAUGCCAUCAACACUUUGAUUUGAGGUGUUGCAUCCUUACAUUUUUUAAAAAUUAAUGACAUUACUUUUCAGGACAGCUUUAGGUUUACAGGUAAAUUGAGCACAUAGUAGAGAGUUUUCACACAUACUCUGUUGUUCCUAACCCAAUUUCUUGCAUUAGUGUCAUGGCGGGG
rnacentral:lncRNA from 1 species